UACGUAGGGUGCGAGCGUUGUCCGGAAUUACUGGGCGUAAAGAGCUCGUAGGUGGUUUGUCGCGUUGUUCGUGAAAUCUCACGGCUUAACUGUGAGCGUGCGGGCGAUACGGGCAGACUAGAGUACUGCAGGGGAGACUGGAAUUCCUGGUGUAGCGGUGAAAUGCGCAGAUAUCAGGAGGAACACCGGUGGCGAAGGCGGGUCUCUGGGCAACAACUGACGCUGAGGAGCGAAAGCGUGGGGAGCGAACAGG
rnacentral:rRNA from 1 species